UUUAUAUAUAUUCUUUAUUUUUGGAGUGCAGUGAAAACAAACAUUGCGUAACAUUGACAUAGAUUUAAGUUGCAUUAUGAAUGGUUACAGGCUUCAAGUAUAAACUCAGUAUGUCAUGAGUAGCUGCACACAUUCUUUGGUUUAAAACGUAAAACAAGAAUUAGUCGCAGCGCAAGCGUAUACAGACAUGCAUUUUAUACCUUGUCGAGAUGGCCAACCGUUUAGCAUCACUAAGAUCGGGUCUAAGACAUGGUUUGCUAGGAGCUUGCGUUGUUACAGGUUAUUAUAAUAGGCUAGUGAAACCUUAGAAAGGUACAAACUGUUAUUGCCACUGGGAGAC